GCUCUGUGGAGGGAUUUCACGCACUUCAAGUUCCAUUUGUUCCAACUAAUGUUUAAAAUUAUGAACAGAAAAAAGAAAUGAAAAAUUUGAUUUCCAGUGAGGAAAUGAUGAACUGAUGUCUGAAGACUGGAAGACAUUAUAACUGAAAAUGGCAACUGUUGGGUGGAUCUGAACUGCCAAAAUCUUUCUGGAAAAAGAUGCGAUUCUGAGAUUGUCCGUAAGUGCUCUGGACAGCUGGUUUUUAUGAGUUAUUUGCAAUCAGUUUCCAAGCAGGUGAGAUUUGCAACAGUUUGCUGAACUCAUACCCAUCAAUGUAGGCUUUACAGACUGAAAGUUGGAUUGAACAUCACUUCUUAAUCACUUCGUAUUUUACUUUUUUAUUGUUUUUUUAAAGAUUGAGAACCUUUAGAUCUGCAAGUUUUAUUAUGUUCACUGGGUGAUUUUUUUCUUUAAUCCUUUAAGAAAAAAAUCUUAAGUAUGAGUGUAAGGUUUUGUAGAAUUAAAAAAAAUGGAUUAUACAGCAAAAGAGUAAUUAAAAUAUUGAUCUUAGAAAGUUUUAGAAAUAUUAAGUGUUCAUAUGGACUUGGAUUAACACUUUGAAAUUGAUUAUAAGAAUCCUUCCUGUGAGAAACUUUCUUUAUUUACAACUCUAAUAAAAAAAAAAUCUGAAAA